UACGAAGGGGGCUAGCGUUGUUCGGAUUUACUGGGCGUAAAGCGCAUGUAGGCGGGCCGAUAAGUUGGGGGUGAAAUCCCGGAGCUCAACUCCGGAACUGCCUCCAAAACUGCCGGCCUGGAGCGUGAUAGAGGCGAGUGGAAUUCCGAGUGUAGAGGUGAAAUUCGUAGAUAUUCGGAGGAACACCAGUGGCGAAGGCGACUCGCUGGAUCAUUGCUGACGCUGAGAUGCGAAAGCGUGGGGAGCAAACAGG
rnacentral:rRNA from 1 species